CCUACGGGAGGCAGCAGUGAGGAAUAUUGGUCAAUGGACGAGAGUCUGAACCAGCCAAGUAGCGUGAAGGAUGACUGCCCUAUGGGUUGUAAACUUCUUUUAUAUGGGAAUAAAAUGUUCCACGUGUGGGAUUUUGUAUGUACCAUAUGAAUAAGGAUCGGCUAACUCCGUGCCAGCAGCCGCGGUAAUACGGAGGAUCCGAGCGUUAUCCGGAUUUAUUGGGUUUAAUGGGAGCGUAGGUGGAUUGUUAAGUCAGUUGUGAAAGUUUGCGGCUCAACCGUAAAAUUGCAGUUGACACUGGCAGUCUUGAGUACAGUAGAGGUGGGCGGAAUUCGUGGUGGAGCGGUGAAAUGCUUAGAUAUCACGAAGAACUCCGAUUGCGAAGGCAGUUCACUGGACUGCAACUGACACUGAGGCUCGAAAGUGUGGGUAUCAAACAGGAUUAGAUACCCCUGUAGUC
rnacentral:rRNA from 1 species